UUCUGGGGGAAGACUAGCAUGCCAUAGAGCGGGUGUUUGGUGGGGGGGAGAGGGGCACAGGGGGCGCCUGGGAUUCUUGGGAGGAAAGAAGCUCAGGGGGCAGGGGUAUUCCUCUUUACAACUUAGGGGAGGGUCUAGAUACACUGAAGGGAAGACUCUUACUGUCCUACGAAGGGAUCAAAACAGAAGUAUUCUGCAAGUAUCUUCUGUCACAGCAGGUUGGACAAACCUUUCUGGCUAUGGGCUGUGGCCUGGGGGAUUUUCUUUUAAAGUGAGUCAAUCUGAUACCAUCACCAGUUUUCUUAGAAAGCCAAAUGGCUCAUCUCAGCAGCAGGGUUUUUUAAGGCCCCCAGUGAUAGAAUAGGUGAGGGUCCAACUUCAUUUUGGUAUCAGAAUUUUAUCUUGCAGAGAGCCUAAGUAUUUUGAAAACGUUUCUGCCCACUGCCUUUGGUGAGAAGGACAGCUCCUGAUGAAAAUCUGCCCAUAUUCCCAUUAUUCAAAACUUUCUGCCAGGAUACUGCAGAAUUUCCCCUCUGUUACAGCCCAGGGUUCUUGUUGUAACCAAAACUGUUUCAGCUAAUACGUGGGGGCUCUCCCUCCCUGUCCCUUGGAAAAUUAAUUUAACAUUGUUUAGGCUUAGUCCUUCCCUUCCACAAUGUCUUAACACACACACACACACACACACACACACACACACACAUUCAUUCAUUUAUUUUUUACAGUGUCUUCAUAAACACAGAUGAAAAAGCUCUUUGCUCUGCUAGGAGAUACUGAGGGCCAUUGGACGGUCGGGGGUGUGUGGCUUCUGACUAAUAACGGAUGGAAUCAACACAUUGUCCACGGGCUUGUGGGUGUGUGUCUGACUUUACCUCAGUAAAUGGGGUCUGGGUUCAUUAGAGUGAAGUGCUUUGGUUGUUAAUGGAAAGUUUGCCUGAAAGUCAUGGGGGGACCCUCAAGUCAUAGGAUGUGUAGGAAGAGCCCUGAAGGUCCCCAUCCUGUUACAUGCCUGCCGCCAUGUCUUGACUUACAUAGGAGUCCGUCCUUGGUUCUGACUUGUCCCCCGUCACGUGGUCGUCACGUCCCCGCUGUGAGGGGUUGAUUUGUUUUCUCCCUAAAAAUGAAGGAUCUGGAGGGAAGUCCAUGAGGAUGAGGAGGGCAAAAACAGAGCAUAUAUGCCCUGGACUGGCCUCUUGCUCCAAGUGACAGCCUCUGCCGGUGCCAUGAGAUUUCAAGCAGGAGGCGAGCCCAGACUUUGGCAGCCAGAGGCAGCCUCUGGGAGGCUGGGGGUGUGGGCAGCCGGUGGGUCCUCUGGCUCAGCGUUUUGCAUCUGCCGGUGGUCACACAGGAUAAGCCGCUUUUGUCUUCAGCUGGAUGUUCUGGGUUUGGAAGGGCCAGAGGACACUGUCCUUUGCCUCGCCAGAGAGGGGACUGUGGGAAUUUUUGCAGCAGGAGUCAGCGUUCCCCCCGGUGGAUGAAACAAAGAGCUGUUUCUCCUUUAGACGCCGUGCCAAAUGAAACUGCUUGUGGCUCUUGGCAGCAGCCUCACCUCCCUAGCCUUGCCUUCUGGAGGUUAAAAAGUAAGUGGACAGUUAGUUGCCCGGUGAGGUGAGGAUUCCCCACCUUGCUCCUGGGAGCCGGUCUUACUGUAGGGUAACCACAGGAGGAAGCUGGAGAAUGUGAUCCGAGAAGAACAUGGGAAAAAUCCUUCAAGCAAGCAACUUGUCCUGAACGGGCAGAACUCCAAAUAGAGUAUCACAGUGGGUGCUUAGUGUUCAGACCUCAGAUCCCACCUGAAAUGGAGGUACGAACGUGUCGUUUACCAGGAACUUGUGUGCACACACGCCAGGGACCGCAGGCUCACACGCUCGCCUCUUGCCUCUGACCCCCCUGUUGGGUCCCUCCCGCUGCCCUCCUUCUCCCGGAGGGUUAGCAAGUAGCAACCUGGCAUUUGUAGCUUUGGCGUCUCUCUUUUCCCACCUCUGCCUGCACUCGGGACUUAAUGCCGUGAAGGUUUGUGAGGGAGGCAGCGAGGAGGAGGAGAGCUUUGGACAGUUCACUUCCAGAUGUCAGAAGGCUGCCCUCAACGCCGUGACGAACGUCCGUCCCCACCUCCCCUUCCUCCCCUUCUCCCCCUUCCCUUCUGUUUGGCUCGUUUACUUUGCUCGUAGUUCUCAUUCAGUCAUUGAAAUCGGUGUGAACACACUCCUAAUUAUGGGCCAGGAACUGAGCCGAACUGCUGAACGAGUCACGAGUCACGGGGUGUCUGACCUCUUGGAGAUUUUAAUCACGCGGGGAAGACAGAUACGAAAUUAAACAAGCCCAACGCA